rnacentral:misc_RNA from 1 species
UACGUAGGGGGCGAGCGUUGUCCGGAUUUAUUGGGCGCAAAGAGCUCGUAGGCGGUUAAACAAGUUGGGUGCGAAAACUCCGGGCUCAACUCGGAGAGGCCACUCGAUACUGCUAUGACUCGAGUCCGGUAGGGGAGUGCGGAAUUCCUGGUGUAGCGGUGAAAUGCGCAGAUAUCAGGAGGAACACCGGUGGCGAAGGCGGCACUCUGGGCCGGUACUGACGCUGAGGAGCGAAAGCGUGGGGAGCGAACAGG